CUUGAACGACCCCAGCCACAGCGGCCGGUCCGCCCCGGGCCGCUCCUUGCCGUAGGUGGCCAGCAGCGCCUGCGCCUC
rfam:Streptomyces zinciresistens K42 contig00003, whole genome shotgun sequence.